GCUUGCCUUUGUUUCGUGAUUGGUCCUCAGGAGGUGAAUACGGACUUUAUUUGCAUAUCUGAGUGAUCAGCUAUGCAACUUGAAUUGAAUUAUGUCCCUAGCGGGGAAGUGUGUUGUCAGCUGUUAAUGGUGAAACUGGCAUCUUGUUGGAUUUGAUCCUAAACUAGCCAUUAAAAAAAAAAAAGAAUAGCGUUCAGCUCCAAGAAUAUAACAGCGGGUACUAGUCAGGAAUCAGGAUACUACACAUCACAAACAGAAUUUCUUCAGACAUCCAUGGCUGGGAAACACAAACUGAAAGAUGCUGAUCAUGUUCUGUUUUGUAGACUUCUAAGAAGUAUCUCCUCGGCUCCUGCAACAUUUUAGACCAGAGGGCAAAGCUUUGAAACCCACAUCACUGCAUUCUACAGGUCACAUAUAUUUUUCUGGAUAAAUUCUGGAAGGUAGGCGCAGCAAGCCUUCCAGUUAACAUUCAUAAAUCCUGCCAAGACAAUAAACUGCUAACCACAACUCAGGCAGAGAAGAACAUGAACCGAAAAGAAACUACUGUAAUGUCUCUGCGGCUUCCAACUCUUGUUUGUAAGUGUGUUGGACAUUGAGAACAUUUCCCCAUUGCCCGAGCACAAGGCCAGCAAGGGUAUCAAAGUAAAAAUCAACCCAUAAGGAAAAGCAACACACAAGCAAGAAAACUGACCACAUUCCAGGUAAACAAAUAGACAACAAAACA
rnacentral:lncRNA from 1 species